AUUGAACGCUGGCGGCAUGCCUUACACAUGCAAGUCGAACGGCAGCACGGGAGCAAUCGUGGUGGCGAGUCGCGAACGGGCGAGUAAAGUAUCGGCACGUGCCCAAUCGUGGGGGAUAACGUAGCGAAAGGUACGCUAAUACCGCAUACGAUCUAUGGUUGAAAGCGGAGGAUCGAAAUACCACGCGCGACUGGUGCGACCGAUACCAGAUAAGGUAGUUGGUGGGGUAAAGGCUCACCAAGUCGACGAUUUGUAGCGGGUAUGGGAGGACGACCAGCCACACUGGGACUGAGAGACGACCCAGACUCCUACGGAAGGCAGCAGUGGGGAAUUUUGGACAAUGGGCGAAAGCCUGAUCCAGCCAUGCCGCGUGCAGGAGGAAGGCCUUCGGGUUGUAGCCUGCUUUUGUACGGAACGAAAAGGUUUGGCCUAAUAUGCUGAGCACAUGACGGUACCGUGAGAAUAAGCACCGGCUAACUACGUGCCAGCCGCCGCCGUAA
rnacentral:rRNA from 1 species